rnacentral:rRNA from 1 species
GCCGUCGUUCAUACUGCGUCGAAUGCACCGGAUCCCAUCUGAACUCCGAAGUUAAGCGGCGCAAGGCAUAUUCGAGUUCAUUGUCUGUA